AGACACAAACAUAAGGGACCACAGCAACACUGAAGAAUUAAAUAGGGCAUGAGUGGGUGUGACCCAUUGAUAACCCCACCCACCCAUCCUCAGAUACUUAGAUUAGUAGUAGACUCACUGACCCACCAAAACUGAGAGUACCAGCCUGGAAUUCUCAGGGGAAUUAAUUGAUUACAUAACUUGCUCACUGAUGUGUAUGUAUUGGUCAAGUUGCCAAUUCUUGACUUGAUCACAGAUUUAUUUAUUUAUUUUUUAGUUCCUAUUCAUAGUACUUUUCAGUGCCAUUUGUUUUAUUGGCCAAUCAGUAUAAAAUUCUGACUGCCUAUACCUGGAUAUUUUACUUUCUUCAAAGUACAGAGAGAAUUCAUGGCAUAGAAAAUGCACUAAACAUGUUUGUUGGCGGCAUAGUGCAGUGCUUAGAGGUCACAGGCCCAUAGCUUUACAUUUUUCCUCUAGUUCAUAAGGUUUGACUUCUCAUAAGUUCCUUAACUGCACGCCGGAAGUGCAAUUUCUCCAUAUGUUAAGUUAGGGAUGCAAAUGUUAACUGUCCUGAGGGAUAGCUAUUGUAAAGGCUAACUGAAGUGCAGCAUGUGAAAGCAUUUACAUCGUUUGUCUGCACUAGGGAAAGCUCAAUACAUGUUAACUUGGGCUGUUCUCUUUGUUUAAGUUGUGCUUCCUUCCGUCAGAUACUCAAGAGGACUUGGUUAGGGAACACUGGUAAAGCGUAGAGACGCUCACGUUGUGAACAUUCAUGGAGCUUUGUGGUCAGGUGUCAGGCAGCAUGUCUAUUUCUCAUCCUCUAGUCGGUCAUUGCCCUGAUGCAGCCUCCCACGCACACGGGUGAGCAGAGGAGGAGUGCGGAUAAGCAAGUGUAGCCUCGUCAGUACUUUUGAGAACGUUUCUGGUUUCGGGCCUGUGACGUCACUCCAGUUUUAGCAUCUUAGACUGUUGGGACCAGGACAAUCUGUAUGUGAUACACAAGAGGUGCUAGAUAGAAAGGACGCUGUUGGGAACAGGACUAUCUGUAUGUGAUACACAAGAGGUGCUAGGUAGAAAGGACUGCUGAAAUUCAGGCACUGUUCCCGUGUACUCUCCCUCGGUGAGGUGCCUCUCUGGGCAGUGGUGGCUGUUUUUAUAGGCUUAUCUGUAGCUCCAGCUUUGCCCUUUUGAUCUUUUUACUAUGAGCCUGGCAGCUUGCAGCAGUAUGAACUAUGCAUCCCUUCUUAUUUCCUGAUCUGUUAUUGUGGAUGAUAUCUUUUUCAUCAUUGAGAUUAAGCAAAAUGUGUGGAAAUGACUAGCACAGAGUAAGUACCAAAUGUAUUUUUACUUUCCCCCAAAAUGCUCUAUUUCUGCUGUUACAGUCAAGGGGAGUUUAAUUAUCAUUUCCAAAUAAGACUUUUUAUGCUGUAGUGCAUUGUAAAGGUCUUAUGUCUAGACUGUGGUUCUAAAACUUUUGAUUAAAAUACUUUCCUUGAGCUGAGCAUGGGGUGUAUACCUGUAAUCUCAGACGUGGGAAUUACAGGCGGGGGAAUCAGCCACUCUUGGCUACAUAACAGUUUUGAAUCAGCCUUGGACGGCUGAGACCCUGGGUCUAUAAUGGCGACGGUAGUAAUUGUCUUGUGUUACUAGUUUAUGACAAUAAUGUCAGCCGUUCUUUUUAUCUUCAUAAUAGUUCAGUGUGGGUUAUUAUCCUUACAAAUGUUAAACUAGAUUUUAAUCCAGUUUUCAAAAUUAUUAUGGCAAAAAUGCAGCGCCAAUGGUAAGCAUGGAAUAGAAAUCCUUGCUUGUUCCGCGGCAGGAGCCUCCAUCGACAGCACCCAGGGUCUUCCUUGGAAGGCAGUCUACGAGGUUUUGGGGGGAUUUUAGUCAAAACUACCUUUCUGGUGUAAAAGUACAAAUGUGGUCUGGAAAGUUCUGCCAGGUUUGCUCGUCUCUGUACAAUUAAGUCCCUCCUUCUGGUUCCACAGGGUUUGGAAUGUUUGGGAGUGUCCUUGAAGGGAAGCUGCCCGCACAGCUGGGUCUUGUCACCCAGAGCCCAAUGGACUUGACAGGUCCAGCUCUGCCCAUACUGCUGCAGGUCAUCCGAGCAGCCCUGAGUUCUUGGAGGAUAGUCAAGGGUUCAAAACGCCCUGGAAAACCUCUGUCUUGAAGCUUUAUAUUCCAGUCCUGAUUUACAUAGCAGAAGCUAUGAGAACAUUGCUUGGCCCCGUUCUGGUACUGAUUAUCAAAACCGGAAGUUACUCUCAGUUCUCAAUCUUCCAAAGCAGAGAGUAUGGACUAAAGACCUUUUUGUGUGCAGAGAAUAUAGUGACUGUCUUCCUACUUGUACCUUUCUUCUGCUUUGCUAUACCAUAAUUGCAGUUGAUCUUAGCCAAAAGGCCAAGAAGCGAUUGCUAUGCCAUAAUUUUAGAGGACAAAAUCUGAUUCCUAGUUUAGAAAAAUUGCUUUGAAGAUGGCCUAGUCGGCCAUCACUGGGAAGAGAGGCCCCUUGGUAUUGCAAACUUUAUAUGCCUCAAUAUGGGGGAAUGACAGGGCCAAGAAGCGGGAGUGGGUGGGUAAGGGAGCAGGGCAGAGGGAGGGUAUAGGGAACUUUCGGGAUAGCAUUUGAAAUGUAUAUAAAGAAAAUAAUUUAAAAAAAAAGAAAAACUGCUUCAAAACUUUAUUAAAUCUUUGGUAUUUUGGGGAGGGGAAUUUUUAUAUAGUAUAUUUGAUCAUAUUCUUUCCCCAACUUCUCUCCAGCCCACUGUUAGCUCUCUACCCUCUAAUUUCUUGUCUUUUUUUGAAUUUUAAUUUUUUAAAAGCACUCAUUGGCUCCCGUUCAUGUCAUCAAUAUAUUUCUAGGGGUGAGCACAUCCACUAGAGCAUGGUGGGCAUACCAAGAGCCACACCCUUAUAGAUAACUGAGUCUUCGUCACCCAGAAGCCAUCACUUGUCUAUGGCCGUGAGUCAAACUCAGGUCAUCAGGCUUUAUUUACCCUUUGCGACAUCCUAUAGGCUCAUGAGAGGAAGAGUUAACUGAGCAAUGAGUUAAUGACAGGUUGAUAUUGUCCUGCAUUUUCUGACAGUUUGACCUUGGGAAGCUAGUGUGUUUCAUAUCAUGACUUUGAACUUGACCCGAACUGACUUUACUAUAAGGAUUAUAUAGUUGAGCAAUUUCUAAAGAUUAACAGUGAAAGAAUCGCCAAGAGCCCAUACAAAGCAGCACCAAAGAUUGUCAGCCUGCACAUCAUAUGCAGCAGUGAAUUCCUUGGGGCUCAGUUGUCUAAGGAUACGUUUAGUGGCCAUUCUUGAGUCUCCUCAGGUGGUGAGUAAUGUGAGUGUUUCAACCUGAUCUUACAAAAGUAACUUUUUUGGGGGGUGGGGUGGGGAGAGAAAACAAAUUUUAGUAGCAAAGUACUGAAUAUGUUGUGGAAUAUAAAGUGAACAUAAUUAGGCUACUUCCAAAGCUAUCUGACACGAGAGAGGACAGGCAUGAUUAGUUUGAGGCCUGGUCUCAGGAGUUGCAGGAAUGAGCCCAGCUGCAUGUUUCUUGACUGCAGUGUAGACUUGGCUACCUCGCAGUGGGAAGCAGCCAUGAACUAAGUCAGCAGAUUCUGCCUGCACCAUCCUGGGUUCCCUCAGGAUAUCUCAGGACUGCAUAACUCUAGAAAGAGACUAAAAGAUCCAUCUGCAGGAGCUAGAUUGUAGGCCAAGUGUAGCCUUCCCAGAUUGUGUUAUCAGAGUCCACCCAAGGUUAGUUAGCGUAGAAUCAAUUUCUGUCUUACAUUGGAUCCAGUUUUAGGAAAAUAUCUGAAGUCCGAUAUAACUAUACAUAAACUUGAAUACAAUCUGAAUUGAUAUAGUCAUAUCAGCAUAUUAUAUAUAUAUAUAUUUUUAAAGAUUUAUUUAUUUAUUAUAUGUAAGUACACUGUAGCUGUCUUCAGACACUCCAGAAGAGGGAGUCAGAUCUUGUUACGGAUGGUUGUGAGCCACCAUGUGGUUGCUGGGAUUUGAACUCCGGACCUUCGGAAGAGCAGUCGGGUGCUCUUACCCACUGAGCCAUCUCACCAGCCCCCCAGCAUAUUAUAUUUUUGAUUCUCUGAUGCCUUCACCUAAAAGUGUUCUACUCUGGCUAUUUAUAUUAGCUCUUGGUGUUUGGAUGGCAGGAGUGCUACACCACGGCACCUUCGUAACUCUGUCUUUUCUGUAUUCAGAAUUGUUCAGGAUGCCAUAGGUUCCUUUUCUUUGAUAAAACUUAGUAACAGCUGAUGAACAGGACUGUGGGUUGCUCAGAUCUUAUGUUUUUGCCCAUAUAAGGCCACUGUGACUCUGAAGAACCCAAAGAUUGUCUCCAGACUCAGCAUUAGCAUCCUGGUCAUGGUGUAAUUCUUCCAUGAUUCCUAGCUAUGCAGGGUAUAAAUACUGUAGAUCCCACAUUUAGGAAAAACAUUUUCUCUCUUUAUACCUGAAAACAUACCAUGGGACUAGCACAUGGAAGCAGUGGAUUUUCUUGUACUUCACUGUAGUUCUAGGGUUUAGGGCAUGCCACCCACUUCUCUAAUAAAUGAGAUAGUGAAGCUAGAAUUUUCCAGAGUCAGACAGUAGCUUGUGAUUCCUUCCUUCCCUAGUAAUGCCAUCACAGAGGAGAGGCAGUGACGGAAAGAGGUGGGAUUAGUUGGGCUUUUCUGCUGCCUAUGCCCUGGACUACUUGCUGCCUGACCCUAACUGCCCUUGGUGGGUUGGAGGUGGGAGGUUGGGGGGGGGGGGCAGAGUCAACAACACAGACUGGGCACAAACUCAACUGAGCACUGCUGCAAGCUCCUUUAGUACCCACCACCCAUGCCCCAUUGGUCCCAAGAAAGCGUCUCUUCUAAACAGCACUUCCUGAUUGGCUGGCAUUGUCUGCACCAGCGAUCCUUGGUCUCUCAGGCAGUCCUCAAUUAGGUCCUCCUACAGGAGUUGCUUUUGCAGCUGCGUGGCCCAGGUGUUUACAUAGAGGUGGCUCCGAUGUUCCUGCUACACUUUUCUAUGUCUCCUGUGCAGCUCAUAACCUCAGCGAGGUGGAGACUGUCUUUUAAUUUUUUGAGAGCCCUAAAUUCAGAUUUCUACAAAAUUCUUUAACAUUGAUUAUUCUAAUUUUGGCAUUUAUUUACCAAUCUGUCAGCAGUUUGGAGCUCUCUGCUUGGAAUAGAGUUGCCCAUAAACAGUUGUUCCCAACCCAACUUUCCUGCCUGGGCAGUGUUGCUUUUGAACUAUUUGUGCUUUUAUGUGGAAGAUGGUUCUUUUGUGGGAGACUCAUCCCGUGUGUGUGUGUGUGUGUGUGUGUGUGUGUGUGUGUGUGUGUGUGUGUGUGUGAGUGUUUAUUGUCCCUUUUUUGUGUGAUUUUUUUUUCUAUUCAGCAGAAUCCUCAAGGACACUCAGUGUUAUAGGGCCUGUAUUAACAUGACUGCAGGUCUUCAGGGUUAGGACCUGCUUGUACUUUGAGAGAGACUCAACACUUCUCCAUGGAAUUGUUUGCUUUUUGUCUUCUUGAUAAUGGCAGAACCCGUCAAAACAUUCCUAUUGUUUAUUGAGCUUAUUUCCUGGAUUUGAAGUGAUUUGACUGCCUCCCUCCCCCAAUCCUUUUACUAGUUUACAGGGAAAUUUUGGAGUUGACUAAUUGUCUUAUUUAAACUAUAUCUUGUUUCCAUUGGAGGAUGUGUCUCUAUCUAGCCCUGUCAGUAUUUUCCCUUAGCCUCAUGCCAGUGACUUAGGUGAAUUUGAGCAACAGUAGUGAAGGUUUUUAUAAGCGCACUUGGUUAUCUGUUUGUUCUAAUAGUCAACAGGACAUCAAAAACCUAGUGUUUCACAUGUGCUAGAAUGUGCUCUUACACUGAGCUAUGUCCCAACAGGAUUUACCUUACAUAUGUUUAUUCUCUUCAAAAACAACAGUUCCUGGAUAUUUUCCUGUCAGAUUUUUAUAUUAUGUGGGCAGUUGAUUCAUUUGAGUUUCUUAGUUCUUAGUCAUGAAACUCGGAAUCUUUCCUUGUGGGCAAACCUAGGAGAGCAGAAGGUGAAAGGGUACCACUGGCUCCCUUCUGCACGAGUGAGUGACACAAUUAACAGGUUGUUGACAUAGUGUUUCUAGGGACCCCCUCAGGGUAAAAACCUUUUGUUGUACCCCUGGGUGUGAUAACUGAGAAGAAUGCUGCUGCCAUGCCCAUGUCAACAAAUCUGGAAGGGCAGCAGGACAGGGCAGUGGCAGGCACUGCUGUGAAGUCUGAGAAUGCCCUCUGCUCUGGACGAGUGCAGGCCUUCAUCAGUGCUACUGUUCACUGCUGCUGUCACUGUCCCCACUCUUAGGGUAUAGUAGCUCUGAAAUCUCUGCUGUAGGCUCAGUCAGAGUGGUACUGAUAAAGCAGGCACUUGAAAUGUUGUAGUGUACAGUCGUCAUAUUUUUGCCUCAUGAUCUUUCUUCCUUUAGAAUAUACUUACCCUUAAAGUAAAACUUUAUACAAAUUAGAUUUUAGAAAAUGUUGGCCAGAUUUUGAACUCAUGGAAGUACAUUCCAAGAUUUGAGUGCAAAGCUGUUUCCCACAUUACAGAAUGAACUGGUCAUUGUAACCAGCUUUGUAUGGAACAGUUGUUCCAGAUCCUAGUGCUGUGACCAAGUUCUUUUCUUUAUACCCCUCUGUUCAUUAGCUUAUCCUAGAAUUAGACUGUCCACUUUCUCCUGAUUAAAGUCUUCUGGGGAAAGACUCUGAUGCUCAUGUGACUAGUUUUCCUUCUAAGUUAUUGCCUAUGUACUUCAGAUCUUCCUGAUGGGCUUAUUUUCCCUCCUAUUUAAGGAAGAAUAGAGGUAUGGUUAUUUGGCAACAAACCCAGUAUUUUCAUUUUCUACUUCACCACAAUAAAAACAUGUCACUGGUUUAACACCAGGAUUUAAAAAACACCUUCAGCUUUAAUUCAGGAUUUUGGGCUUCUUCUCCUUCUCCUUCUCCUUCUUUCUCCUCCUCCUCCUCCUCCUCUUCCUCCUCCUUUUCCCAUUUAAAAUUUUUUUAUUUCUUUUCUCUGGCCCAUCAGCAAAAUAAAAAGAUAUCACUGGUUCAUUUUCCACUUCAUAACGUUUUCAGUAGAAGUGAUUUAAUCUCAGUGUGGUUUCAGCACAAGGUUACAAAAAUAAGACCUGCGUAUAUGUCAUAUAGGAGGAGGAUAAUUAGUUAAAAUAAAUAUAUUUUACAUUGUUUACAUGUAAAGAUUUUAAAGAGAGAAAGUGUUAGGCACUCCCCUCCUAAAGGAAUCAUUGAGCAGUUCUCAUGACUACAGAAGUUUAUGCUUAAAUAGAAGAUAUUUGUGGCACUUCAAAUCAUUAGUUACUAUUGAGGGAGUGAGAAUAGUAAAGAGUUGAACUUACAGACGAUUUUACUUUGCUUAGAGUUCUCAGGGCACCCAAAGGACAAGGGUAACUUCUUUUUUCUCUUUCUGUGUAUCAUCACAUUAGAAGAUGUGGCUUUCCCUGUGGUAAAAUAAGUCAUUUAAACAGUUAUGGAUAAUUUUAUAUGAGCUAAAGGGUAUUAAAGCUUUGACCAUUAAAUGAAUCUCAUAAAGCUAAUGUCUGCACACAUUUCUCUUUUUUAUUAGAUAUUUUCUUUAUUUACAUUUCAAGUGAUAUCCCCUUUUUUGGUUUCCCCUCCAAAAUCCCCUACUGCACACAUUUCUUAUAGGACCAAACUCUAUGCAAGGAGCAAAAUCUUGUAUAAUAGAGUUUAGGUCUUGGGUUUUCUUUUCCAUUUUUUUUUAAUGUACCUUCCAACAUAGUCCAAUGUGACUAUUUCUUUAAAAUAUUGCCUUGAGUAAAAGUCCCUCUGGUUCUUUGUAAAAUAGUUGUAGUAAUAACUCCUCCUUGGAGCAGUUAAGAGGGCAAGUUUAGAUAGUGUUUACAGGUGCUUCAUGCAGUACCUGGAGAUAGUGUGUGCACAGUUAGUGUUAGCACCAGCCAUCACUUGUAUGUUCCUGUAUGCUGCCACACUCUUCAUCUUAUCUCUUAGAACCACAGGACUCAGAUUAGUGACAAGGGGCAGAGCAGCCUUCUCACUUAUAUUUGUUUCUCUGGUAUAUUUUAUGCCUUUUGGGUGUUUUGAUCAGUGGUGCCAAGUGAGGCCUGAAAGAAUAUCUUAAAGUACUAUGAGAAGAGGUGAAAGCAAUACAGGAGAGAGUAUCUAAGGAUAGAGUUUUCUUAACACCUUUUAUGUUACCGUAUUACAUGAAAGUGGGUGUAGGGGUAAAAUGGCUUAUGGUUUUAGACACGAUGUUGUGAUUCUUUGUGCUGAGUUAGGUCUCUACAGAGCAGCGGAUUGUCCUACUGAGCUGCUGCGAACCCUCAUGAUGACUUGAUUAAUAGUUAUAACAGAGGCAUAAUCUUGAUGUACCAAGAUGGAAGCUGAAUAUUUCCUUGUGAAAGUUAGAAUAAUAGGAAAUUCUAUAAGUCUGCACAAAAGUCCACUGGAGGAAGGCACCUGCAGCUUAACCUCUCAUGAGACAUUAAUAGUUCGUGAACUCAUGCUUUGAUCACUAAUUAACAGUAUUUGUCUGAAAGGUACAAUUUCACCAAGUUGUCCAUACUGGCAGUAAACUCAGGGUUAAUAUAUUCUUUCUGGUGUCCAUAUAGCUGGGUUAUGGCUUGAGCCACCACACCUGGCUCCUCUUUCCCCAAUACCCAUUUAUAUGGUAUCCCAAAGUGCUCUUCUUGGCCAAAUGUUGGAAAAUUGAAUUUCUUUUUUGAGCUAGAAUCUUGAUGUGUAGGUCAGGAUUCUACUUGCCUCAAUCUCUCCUCACUUCUGGGACCACAGGGAUGUUUGACCACACCUUGGUAAAGCUGUAUAGUUCGAAAAGACAUUAGGUUUAUGAGAGAGAGAGAGAGAGAGAGAGAGAGAGAGAGAGAGAGAGAGAGAGAGAGAGAGAGAGAGAGAGAGGAGAGGAGAGAGAGAGGGGAGAGAGAGAGAGACUGACUGAGUGUGUAUAUGUACUUUGGAAGUUAGAGGACAGCAUGUGGGAGUCAGUUCUCUCUUUCCACUAUGUGAGAUCCAGAAUGCUCUGAGAGAGGGCCACUUUUUUUCCCAUUUAAGUCUCUGAUGAUAGCAUAUUUAUGCCAAACUACUGUCUCUGUUUCCUAGUACUCUCCAUACCAAAGAAGGGCUAUAAAGGGGCAUAUAAACUUUGGACAUAUAUAUUCUUGGGCUGUCUUGGGUCCCGAGGAUUCUGAGAAUGAUGCUGCAAAACAAGCUUGUGGGUUUGUCCAAGCUGCUGAUUUUUUUUUUUUUAACCUUUGCUUACCGAUACCUGGUAUUCUGGUCCUCUCGAAGUAUUAGUGAAAAUGGAGGGUGGUGAAGUCUUAGGACUUUUGUCUUGGAAGCAGCAAAGGGGCCUUUCCACUACCCUGCUGCUGUGACCAGUAGACUGAGCUUCACAGGCAGAUUUCCCUCCCUUACAGUUGAAUUAGUCUGGAGUAUUCUUUUUAGAAACAGUUUUCAAUUAACCAAAGAAAAGGGAUUGGGGACUCUUCUUAGUUCAUGCAUCUAAUUCAUUUAUUAUCCUCAUACACUCUGGCAGUCAGGAUUUUCUCUCCAAGGUCUCCUUGAUAUAGGAGACAUUUCCUACCUCUCUUUCUGAAUCAUCCUGAGACACCUCAUUGUGAUUAGCAAGGAAGGAUGGUCUGUCAAAAGCCUCUGAAUUAUUUUAUCACAUUAGGAGUCACCCAAGCACAACUGAUUGGAAGUAGCUGUGUGUGAUUCAGAAGAGUCCCCAAAAAGCUCACCCCCACACUUGCAGUUUUCCUCUUACCCACUUCACGAUGCCUGUUCUUCCUGUCUACAUUGCCACAAAGCAUCUGAAGCCCUUGCCUCACCACAUGCGCCUGAGCUGUGGGGUUUAAAAUUCUGUGUGUGUGUGUGUGUGUGUGUGUGUGUGUGUGUGUAUUUGUAAGUGUUUACAUAACAGACAACCUUUGAGGUGAGGAAGAACUCCCAGUCCUACCAUAUGGUCAGAAGCUUUGUCUGAAGCUUGAGUAGUGGUCUUGCUGAGCUCGACUUUGUGGCCUCAUCCCUUCUCUCACAAUGCUGCUAUUUGUCCUCAUCAGGAGUACAUGGCUUAUCUUCUAUUCAUGGUCAUGCCGUUCUGAGCAUUGGUGAAUAUAGUAUACAUAGUAACAAGCUGUCUCAAGUACACUAGUCUGCUUUCUCAAGACAGCCAACUAGUGUGGGUCCUACCUCAUUGCCUUAAGCAUGAGUUGUUUCUGUUGGCCAUGGGUUUGCUAGGCUGUUCUGAUUGUAAAUUCUAUUUUUAAUGCAACAGAAAUCAUGUUUUUUUUUUGCUUUGCUUUAUAUUCUUAAUUCAUUUUUAUUGAAUAUUUUCAGAUAUCACAUAAUAUUCUGAUCAACUUAGUUGAUAAUAGAUUAUAAUAGAAUUUUAGAGAUAAGUGGGAUAUUCAUAUUCAUCUCCUCUUGUAAACUUCCCCCAACUCCAAUGCAACACACACACACACACACACACACACACACACACACACACACACACACAGAGAGAGAGAGAGAGGGGGGGGAGACAGAGAGAGAGAGACAGGGAGAGAGAGACAGAGAGAGAGACAGAGACAGACACAGAGACAGACACAGACACAGAGACAGACACAGAGACAGAGGAGAAUUUCUGAGUCAAAGGAAAUAAGGACAGUUGCCCAAAAUAGCCCAAUCACUGAAGAAACUGGACCAGCAUUUAACUUCGUGUGUGUCCUGCUGCAGUAGGUCAUCACCAUGAAGUUUUCCAUUUGACCAUUCUUUUUUUUUGUUGUUGGUUUUGGUUUUUAAACUUUAAUUAAUUUACUUUACAUCCUGCUUCAUUUCCCCCCUCUUCUCCCAGUCUUUCCCUCCUUCCUCUCCUCUUCCCUAUCCACUCCUCCCCUUUUCUCUUCAGAAAAUGGGAGGCCUCCAUGGAUAUCAACCAGCCCAGGCAUAUCACUCUUUAUGAAUCUACAACAAGGUACUGGCACUGUAGACCCCUGAGGUGCACCCCAGCGUCCCUGAAUUUGGAAUACCUGGGAACACAUCCCAGAUCUCUCACAGUUAUUUCCAGGAUGUGUUUCACUAUCCUGUUUGUCAAAUGGACAUAUAGUCUUGUGAAGAUUAAAUGCCCUAAAUGGAAUGAUGCAGGUAUUUAAUACCCCAUAUCCAUCAUUUUUGUCUGAGUGCUUUGAAUGGUAACAGAGAGAAAGUAAGUAGUCUAUUAUAAAUCCCAUUGGAGGUUUAUGUCAGCCUGAGUGUUAGAGCUCACUUAAGGUCUCUCCAUCUCUCUUUCUCUCCCCUCCCAUUCCUUUCUCUCUCCCUCCAUCCCCCAUAUAUGUAUGUAUUUAUACAUACAUAUCAGCACACUUCUGUUAUCUCUAGGCACACUUUGUGUUCAUCACAACUUACUUAGCCACUUGUCUUCCACACCUACUACUGAGAGUGACUGAAAGCCUUGGGCACUAACAGUGAUGCGGCAGAGCAUGCUGGUGAAGGUGGAAGUUCUCAAUAAGCUCUUCAGGCAUAUUUUCUUGCUCAUUGCAUUUCUUUAAAACAUAGCCUAGUAAUUUUGUUCAUGACUUAGAGGACAAAGGGAUUAGCAAUAGGACCCCUAAAGACUUGUGGAAUAACUACUUUCUGCUAAGCACGAGCCAGUGUUCUGUUCCUCCAUGUAAUAAUGAAAAUUACUAUGUGGAAUUCAACUGGUGGGAGGAGUGAAGAGUUUUUAUGAAGCGAUGGCACUGCAUUGUCUGCCUCUGUGAAUGAUGUGGGAGAGAUAACCACAAAGUAUUGCUACCUAACUGCCAUGUCUGUCAGUCCACUGCCAAUGGCUGUGUGGGAAGAGAGGAAGGCCCAGUUGCAAUCAGGUCUUUGUCAUCGUUGUGUCAUGGGUGAAGCAUUGCCAAGCUCAGAUCUCACUUGUGUGAUGAGUGAGGUACUUGAGACUCAGCAUGUUUGUACUUGACUUCAGCGUUGAGAUGAUUUACCGUGGCUAAUGGCAGAGGUAAGGGCUGUGUUCCGGAAGUGCUGGACCUGUGGAAUCAACUGAGAGGACUCUUGCCUCUCCCUGGGUGAGUGGACCUGGUUUCUGCCUACAUUUGCAGAGUGUGUCUUCUGAAGCAGGCUUCCUUUGUGGCUUCCUGGAGCCUGUCAUUCACUCCCCCUUUCUUAGCUGUAGCUGACUACUCCUUUAAAAGGUCAGAGAGGACUUGUGACAGGAAAAGCCAGGAAGGACCAAUAAGAGGUCCUUUGGUGUGGAAUAAGCCAGAGAGGGAAAUUUACCUUUGAUAGUGGAAAGAAAGUCUUGUUUUACUGGUGUAAUGGCUUUCUUGUUUCAUGCCUAAGAAAAUGUUUUCCUUUAAAAGGAAAGAAACAUUUAAUUGGGUGUGUGCUUAGUGGAGAAAAUGUAUUUUUGGAUGAGGGAUAUUUUUUCCUGUUUCAGCUGUGAUGAAUUAAGAAUAGCAGUAACUGGCAAACAAAACACUUGAAAUGGCCUGCAUUCUCUCAAAUUGGGAAGAAGAUAGUUGUGGUAGUUCCUUGCCUGUUUGGGGAGAGCUGAAAUAGUGUUGUGAGAUGUAUUUUUUUUUCAUACAGAGGCCAAGCCCUGCUGAAUUUUGUAGUUAGUUGAGCUAUAGAGACUGAGAUUGCUGGACAACAGAAAAAAAAAAAAGGAAAGAAAAAGAACAAGAUAAAAGAUAUAGUUGCAAGACUAUUUCAAGUGCAGUUAACUAUAGUUUAUAUUUUAUGAAGUAUUGGAAGUAUUGUCAUUUUUUAAAGUGAACUUUGGCUUUUAUAUACUUAAGCAUACAUUUUGAACUCUGCUUUUUAAAGAAAGGACAGGAUAGAAUUAUGUGGAUUUUACAGAUAGGAUCUUUGCAAGCAGAAGAACCAAGAAGGAAGAAUCAGAUCUUUGAAGGAAACUCCAAGAGUGCUAAGGCAGUGCUGGCCUUCUGGUGAUUUUUUCAUUCUUAAUGCUUCUUGGCCAUGCCACAAAGCCUUAGCUCUCCACAAAUCUAAAACUAACUUCUUGUAUUAUUCAAAGGAGUUUUUUAUUUUUAAAGACAUUAGCAGCCCUGCUUGAGGCUAUAAACUAACUUCUAUGAGCUGUCAAGCAUAUUAUAUGAUUUCACUAUAUUAUUAGCAAGUUAAGUCAUAUGAUUAAUUUUAUAAAUUAGAUAGCUUGAGACCACUCGGUGAUUAUGCAUUUUUACUAGAGAGACCAAGAGGACUGUCUGCCCUGACAGGUAUUUAAAACAGUCCUCUUAUCAUUUCGUUCCUGGAGAGACUCUGCACUCUUACUCAGUAACAAUCACCCUGAUGUACAAUGUGUUAUUCAAAAAUUAAACCAGUGCAAAGGCAUCUUUGUUUUUAAUCAAAGUGAAAAAUUACUUGGAAACCUUGGGAAGGGACCAGGGUGCAUUUAUGUUUUUAUAUGUCAUUUCAUUUACACUGUGUAUUUAUACUUAGUUUGUGUUCAUUCCAGUUUAUGUUGUAGGGAAUAUUAAAAAUAAACCCACCAACUCUC